rnacentral:rRNA from 1 species
GACGAACGCUGGCGGCGUGCUUAACACAUGCAAGUCGAACGGAAAGGCCCUGCUUUUGUGGGGUGCUCGAGUAGCGAACGGGUGAGUAACACGUGAGUAACCUGCCCUUGACUUUGGGAUAACUUCAGGAAACUGGGGCUAAUACCGGAUAGGAGCUCCUGCUGCAUGGUGGGGGUUGGAAAGUUUCGGCGGUUGGGGAUGGACUCGCGGCUUAUCAGCUUGUUGGUGGGGUAGUGGCUUACCAAGGCUUUGACGGGUAGCCGGCCUGAGAGGGUGACCGGCCACAUUGGGACUGAGAUACGGCCCAGACUCCUACGGGAGGCAGCAGUGGGGAAUAUUGCACAAUGGGCGGAAGCCAGAUGCAGCAACGCCGCGUGCGGGAUGACGGCCUUCGGGUUGUAAACCGCUUUCGCCUGUGACGAAGCGUGAGUGACGGUAAUGGGUAAAGAAGCACCGGCUAACUACGUG